CAUCAUAUGCGUCUUAUUUCAAAAUAUUAACAAUUAUAAAGUUGACCAUUAUUCUUAGUUAAUUGUAAAUUGUUGUAAUAUGCGUAUGACUUGUAAAUGUAAUGUUCAGUUAACUGAAAUAAAACAGGCUUGAUGCAGCCUUCAAUUUGAGAAACGUCCAAUGUCUCAUAACUACUGAUCCCUCCCUCACUGGAAGGCAGGGCUUGCAUUUUCCCACAUCAUAGUAAUAAAACUGAUGUGUGUUGUGUUAAUGUCUGCUAUGUUUGGUUGAACUGAAAUGUUCAAUAUGGACCUCUGCUUUUUAUGGCUCUGUCUAUUAUUUUGUCACUCUGGCGAUGUGCUGGGUGUUGAGACGUUGUUUGUGAAGCAAGGAGAUACAGUUAUUCUUCACACAGGUGUUACUGCAUUACAGCCUUAUAAUCAUUUAAUUUGGAGGUUUGGACCUAAAAACAUCAUCAUUGCUGAACUCCCUGUUCAUCAGACUUUUAUCUUUGAUAAUAACGGAUUUGGCUACAAUCUGGGACUGAACGAAGAGACAGGAUCUCUAACCAUCUACAGCAUCAACACAGAUUACUCUGGAGUAUUUACAGUAGACAUCACCAUCCCAAAACUACACAAGAGCAUCAUCAAUAAUGUCUUAAAUAAGAGUUUCAACGUUAUUGUUUCUGAUCCUCUACCUGUUCCUGUCAUCAUGAGAAACUCAUCAAGCUGUUCAUCAUCAUCAUCAGAAAGAUCAUCAAGUUCAAAAUGCGUUUUGUUGUGUUCAGUGAUGAAUAUAACAGAUGUGAGUCUUACCUGGUACAAAGGAAACAGUUUAUUGUCCAGCAUCAGUGUGUCUAAACCAAAACCUACUG